rnacentral:rRNA from 1 species
CAGUCGCCGCGGUAAUACGUAGGGUGCAAGCGUUAAUCGGAAUUACUGGGCGUAAAGCGUGCGCAGGCGGUUUGUUAAGACAGAUGUGAAAUCCCCGGGCUCAACCUGGGAACUGCAUUUGUGACUGGCAAGCUAGAGUAUGGCAGAGGGGGGUGGAAUUCCGCGUGUAGCAGUGAAAUGCGUAGAUAUGCGGAGGAACACCGAUGGCGAAGGCAGCCCCCUGGGCCAAUACUGACGCUCAUGCACGAAAGCGUGGGGAGCAAACAGGAUUAGAUACCCCGGUAGUCCCUGUCUCUUAUAC